rnacentral:rRNA from 1 species
UACGUAGGGGGCAAGCGUUGUCCGGAUUUAUUGGGCGUAAAGAGCGUGUAGGCGGCUUUACAGGUCCGUUGUGAAAACUCGAGGCUCAACCUCGAGACGCCGGUGGAAACCGUAAAGCUAGAGCCCGGUAGAGGAGAGUGGAAUUCCUGGUGUAGCGGUGAAAUGCGCAGAUAUCAGGAGGAACACCCGUGGCGAAAGCGGCUCUCUGGGACGGUACUGACGCUGAGACGCGAAAGCGUGGGGAGCAAACAGG